rnacentral:rRNA from 1 species
GACGAACGCUGGCGGCGUGCCUAACACAUGCAAGUCGAGCGGGAUCCAUCCGGUAGCAAUACUGGUGAAGAUCUAGCGGCGAACGGGUGAGUAACACGUGAGAAACCUGCCCCAGACUCUGGGAUAACACGAGGAAACUCGUGCUAAUACCGGAUACCUUCUUUUGGUCGCAUGGCCAGCUGAAGAAAGAUUUAUCGGUUUGGGAGGGUCUCGCGGCCUAUCAGCUAGUUGGCGGGGUAACGGCCCACCAAGGCAUCGACGGGUAGCUGGUCUGAGAGGACGAUCAGCCACACUGGGACUGAGACACGGCCCAGACUCCUACGGGAGGCAGCAGUGGGGAAUCUUGCGCAAUGGGCGAAAGCCUGACGCAGCAACGCCGCGUGCGGGAUGAAGGCCUUCGGGUUGUAAACCGCUUUCAGCAGGGAAGAAAUUGACGGUACCUGCAGAAGAAGCCCCGGCCGACUACGUGCCAGCAGCCGCGGUAA